CCGCCCGGAGGUCCCCAUCCCCCAGCGAGUUUCGCCCGGGGAUGCGCUCAUG
rnacentral:sRNA from 1 species